rnacentral:snRNA from 1 species
GUGUUCUCUUUCAUAGCACAUACACUAAAAUUGGAAUGAUACAGAGAAGAUUAGCAAGGCUCCUGUGCAAGGAUGACGUGCAAUUUGUGAAGUAGCCCACCUUUUU